GGGCCCGCACAAGCGGUGGAGUAUGUGGUUUAAUUCGAUGAUACGCGAGGAACCUUACCAGGGCUUAAAUGCAGAACGACAGAGGUGGAAACACCUCCUUCUUCGGACGGUCUGCAAGGUGCUGCAUGGUUGUCGUCAGCUCGUGCUGUGAAGUGUCGGGUUUAAGUCCCAUAACGAGCGCAACCCCUAUCUUUAGUUGCCAGCGGAUAAUGCCGGGGACUCUAGAGAAACUGCCAGCGUAAGCUGUGAGGAAGGUGGGGAUGACGUCAGAUCAUCACGGCCCUUACGUCCUGGGCUACACACGUGCUACAAUGGUAGUGACAAUGGGUUAAUCCCAAAAAGCUAU
rnacentral:rRNA from 1 species